rnacentral:rRNA from 1 species
GAUGAACGCUGGCGGCGUGCCUAAUACAUGCAAGUCGAGCGAACGGACGAGAAGCUUGCUUCUCUGAUGUUAGCGGCGGACGGGUGAGUAACACGUGGAUAACCUACCUAUAAGACUGGGAUAACUUCGGGAAACCGGAGCUAAUACCGGAUAAUAUUUUGAACCGCAUGGUUCAAAAGUGAAAGACGGUCUUGCUGUCACUUAUAGAUGGAUCCGCGCUGCAUUAGCUAGUUGGUAAGGUAACGGCUUACCAAGGCAACGAUGCAUAGCCGACCUGAGAGAGUGAUAGGCCACACUGGAGCUGAGCCACGGUCCAGACUCCUACGGGAGGCCGCAGUAGCGAAUCUUCCGCAAUGGGCGAAAGCCUGGCGGAGCAACGCCGCGUGAGUGAUGAAGGUCUUCGGAUCGUAAAACUCUGUUAUUAGGGAAGAACAUAUGUGUAAGUAACUGUGCACAUCUUGACGGUACCUAAUCAGAAAGCCACGGCUAACUACGUG